UACAGAGGGGGCAAGCGUUAUUCGGAAUUAUUGGGCGUAAAGGGCGCGUAGGCGGCCUGGCAAGUGGAAGGUGAAAUCCCUCGGCUUAACCGAGGAACUGCCCUCCAAACUGCUUGGCUUGAGUCCGGGAGAGGUGAGUGGAAUUCCCAGUGUAGCGGUGAAAUGCGCAGAUAUCAGGAGGAACACCAAUUGCGAAGGCAGCUCGCUGGGACGUGACUGACGCUGAGACGCGAAAGCGUGGGGAGCAAACAGG
rnacentral:rRNA from 1 species